rnacentral:tRNA from 1 species
GGAAGGAGUUGGUCUUUAAAACCAUUGAGCGUCAACCCCGCUCGGUGGGUUCGAAGCCCACGGCUUCCGCCA